AAGUUGUUAGCUCAGUUGGUAGAGCAGUGAAUUCUUAAUUCAUUCGUCGCGUGUUCAAAUCAUGUACAACUUA
rnacentral:tRNA from 1 species